AAUCAGUUAGAGGAUUUUUGGGGAUAGAUUUGAGGUGGUUUGGGGGGGGAGGGGGGGAGUAACGCGUGGAAAACCUGCCUUCAGCAGGGGGAUAACGGAAGAAAAAUUUUCGCAAACCCCGCAAUAGGACCACGGCACCGCAUGGGGCAGGGGUAAAAUAUUUAUAGGUAUAAGAUGGAUCCGCGUCCGAUUAGAUAGUUGGGAAGGUAAAGGCCCCCCCAAGGCGACCAUCGGUAGCCGGCCUGAGAGGGUGAACGGCCACAUUGGGACUGAGACACGGCCCAAACUCCUACGGGAGGCAGCAGUGGGGAAUAUUGGACAAUGGGGGAAACCCUGAUCCAGCGACGCCGCGUGAGUGAAGAAGUAUUUCGGUAUGUAAAGCUCUAUCAGCAGGGAAGAAAAUGACGGUACCUGACUAAGAAGCCCCGGCUAACUACGUGCCAGCAGCCGCGGUAAUACGUAGGGGGCAAGCGUUAUCCGGAUUUACUGGGUGUAAAGGGAGCGCAGACGGCAAUGCAAGUUUGAAGUGAAAGGCGUGGGCUCAACCCAUGAACUGCUUUGGAAACUGUAUAGCUUGAGUGUCGGAGGGGUAAGCGGAAUUCCUAGUGUAGCGGUGAAAUGCGUAGAUAUUAGGAGGAACACCGGAGGCGAAGGCGGCUUACUGGACGACAACUGACGUUGAGGCUCGAAGGCGUGGGGAGCAAACAGG
rnacentral:rRNA from 1 species